rnacentral:rRNA from 1 species
AAACUCUGAUAUCAUGUGUGGUCCGAGUCAUAUUCAAUAACUAAAACUUUCAACAACGGAUCUCUUGGUUCUGGCAUCGAUGAAGAACGCAGCGAAAUGCGAUAAGUAAUGUGAAUUGCAGAAUUCAGUGAAUCAUCGAAUCUUUGAACGCACAUUGCGCCCCUUGGUAUUCCGAGGGGCAUGCCUGUUCGAGCGUCAUUA